rnacentral:rRNA from 1 species
AUGAACGCUAGCGGCAGGCUUAAUACAUGCAAGUCGAGGGGCAGCAUGACUGUAGCAAUACAGUUGAUGGCGACCGGCAAACGGGUGCGGAACACGUACGCAACCUACCCAAAACUGAUGAAUAGCCCUCCGAAAGGAGGAUUAAUACAUCGUAACAUAGUUGAAUGGCAUCAUUUGAUUAUUAUAGCUCCGGUGGUUUUGGAUGGGCGUGCGCCUGANAGGUUAGUUGGUAGGGUAACGGCCUACCAAGCCAACGAUCAGUAACUGGUGUGAGAGCACGACCAGUCACACGGGCACUGAGACACGGGCCCGACUCCUACGGAGGCAGCAGUAAGGAAUAUUGGUCAAUGGACGCAAGUCUGAACCAGCCAUGCCGCGUGAAGGAUGAAGGUCCUCUGGAUUGUAAACUUCUUUUAUAUGGGACGAAACCCCUCGGAUUCUUCUGAGACUGACGGUACCAUAAGAAUAAGCACCGGCUAACUCCGUGCCAGCCGCC